rnacentral:rRNA from 1 species
CCCCUAGAUGUUCUGGGCCGCACGCGCGCUACACUGAACAGUUCAACAAGUCUUAACCUUGGCCGAUAGGUCUGGGUAAUCUUUGAACGCUGUUCGUGAUUGGGAUAGACCUUUGCAAUUAUGGGUCUUCAACGAGGAAUUCCUAGUAAACGCAAGUCAUCAGCUUGCAUUGAUUACGUCCCUGCCCUUUGUACACACCGCCCGUCGCUGCCCGGAACUGAGCCAUUUCGAGAAAAAUGGGGACAGACUGCUUGUGGGUGCGCAAGCACUUCUUGCAGAUUGAAACCAUCUUGAUCGGUAUGGCUUGAACCGGGCAAAANUCGUAACA